UACGUAGGGUGCAAGCGUUAAUCGGAAUUACUGGGCGUAAAGCGUGCGCAGGCGGUUUUGUAAGUCUGAUGUGAAAUCCCCGGGCUCAACCUGGGAAUUGCAUUGGAGACUGCAAGGCUAGAAUCUGGCAGAGGUGGGUAGAAUUCCACGUGUAGCAGUGAAAUGCGUAGAGAUGUGGAGGAACACCGAUGGCGAAGGCAGCCCCCUGGGUCAAGAUUGACGCUCAUGCACGAAAGCGUGGGGAGCAAACAGG
rnacentral:rRNA from 1 species